UCUCUCUCCUCUCUCUGGCCCGCGGGACCACAAUGCUCCGCGCCUCUUGUCACUGGGAAGGCGCCGAAAGCAGGGGUCACUCGAAAAGAAAAGGUCGCCUCGGUGCAUUCUGGUGUAUGUUGGAGUGCCUACAAGCAUGAAUGUGCACCAUGUGUGUGCAUGGUGCCCACAAUGGCUAGAAGACACUGUCAGAUUUCCUGGAACUGGAGUUGUGAGCCAGGUGUCACUAUUAGGUCUUCUAAGAAUUGUAAAUCUACUUCCAGUCUUGCUUCUGAGUAUGCGUGGGCACAAGUGUGGAGGCCAGAACACAAUCUUCGGUGUCUCAUUCCUGAGGUACUGUCCACCUUGGUUUUUGAAAGGAGGUCUGUCACUGUCCUGGAAUUCAUUAAAGAUGCUCAUCUGCCCAGCCUGUGAUCCCCAGGGCCACCUGUCUCUGCCUUCCCAGUGCUUGGAAUACAGGUGUGUACCAUCACACCUGGAUCUUUUUAAUAUGCGUUCUGGGAAUCGGACCCAAGUAAGUAUGCUUGUAUGAUGAGCGCUUAACUGCGUGAGCUAUUCUACACCUCAGCCUGUUUAUUUUCUUAGUAAUUGAAAUACAGAAUACUGAAAUAUAAGAAGUGGCUAUUUACUUGAUAAAACAUAUGGAUAUAUUCAGAUGAAAUGGAAUAGUCUACCUUUCUUAUAAUGACACAUCCCAAGUGACCCUGUAAGAAAGUAGAGUUGGAAAGAAAAGUUUGGGCUAAAUGGUAGUCUAACUCCUCAUAGCUUUGUAAAUAAUUCACAGAGAUCCGCCUGCCUCUGCCUCCCGAGUGCUGGGAUUAAAGGUGUGCGCCACCACCGCCCGGCUGAGAAUAAUACUUUUAUAAGUUCAUCAGUACCAUACAGUGUUGAUACAGGCCUACAUUAUGUAAUAAUAAAAUCAAGGCAUUGGGCUAUCCAUCAGCUAAUCAUUUAGUGCUUCUUUGAGGUGAAACAAUUCUACCACACCUAUUUUGAAACAUACAAGAAAUUUCUGGCUAGAGUCACCUUAUGGUUCAGAAGAAAUCCAGACCUAGUCUCUCUUUUUAACUGUAACUUUGUUCCAACCUCUUCUCUAUUGCCCACCCCUCCCAGCCUUUGGCAAACAUUGUUCUGUGCUGUUUCUACAAAGCUGACUUCUGGAGAUUGCGCAUAUGUUCAGUCAUGUAGUAUUUCUCUCUUGGAGCCUGCUUCAUUUCAUUAAUGUUCUCUACGUCUAUCCGUGUGUAUGUGUGUGUGUAUGUAUGUGUGCUAUAUGCAUAUUUAUGUGUGUGUGGGUACACAUGCCUAUGCGCACAUGUAGAGGCCAGAUGAAGAUGCCAGGUGUCCUGUUAUGGCAUUUUCUACCUUAUUCCCAGGAGACAGGGUCUCUCACCAAGCCUGGAGCUAGGCUGACACGAAGCAAGCUCCAGGGAUCUUCCAGUAUCUGUCUCCUACAGGGCUGGGGUUAUAGUCUGCCUCAGCUUUUUACAUGGGUGCUUAGGAUUUGAACUCAGGUCUUCAUACUUGCACAGAAAGUGCUCUUACUGCUGAACCAUCUCCCCGACUAUCCAUGUUAUGUGCUCUAAAUGAAGGUCCCUCAAUACAGUGAGUGUCAUUAAUGACAACCCACAGCUCGAAUUAUAUUGAAUGGGAAAAAAAUGAAAGGUUUUUUCUUUAAGAUAUGGAACAAGCCAGGCUGUGCAUACCUUUAAUCCCAGCACUUGAGAGGCAGAGCCAGGCAGAUCUCUGAGUUUGAGGCCAGCCUG